rnacentral:tRNA from 1 species
GCCGCGGUGGUGCGGGUCGAGCGGCCCUCGCGGCGGGCGGCGCCGCGCUGGCGUCCCUGGGCGUCGCGACGAUCGCCGUCGUCCCGCGGCCC